rnacentral:lncRNA from 1 species
GGCCAAUCAAACACGAGAUCCCGCCCUUACCUGUGUGAAGCCCCGCCCAUUGGUAAGCCUACCGCACAACAGUGCUGCAUUCUAUAUAGUCUCCAAACGUAUCGUGUGGUUUAUUCGGACGGCAACGUAAAGAUCAGAUGCCUCAGUGACCAGAUGCUGUCUGAAACGUUUGGAUGUCCAGGUUGUGUUGCAGGUCUUUGUAUAGACUGAAAUGGAGAAGAAAGACUUGAAUAAGUGGCCCGAGGGUGAUUCACAGCCAGGUUACUUCUCCACUUGCAAAUGUAUGACUUUAGCUGCCAUAUUGAUUCUUUUCAUCAUCGGGGCUGCUGUGGGUUUUAUGACAGCUUACUUAAUACAAGAGGAACAUUAUUUCAUGGAGACAGUGGAAUUGCAAGGGCUCAGUUAUGAUCCAGAUCUGAGUGAUAAAACAUCAGGAUUCUAUGUAGUUCUGACUGCGACUCUGAAAGAAAAGAUCAGGAAUAUCUUUAGCGCCUCUGCAGUAGCAAGUCACUUUAUUGACUGCCAGAUAGUUGCAUAUGGGAAUGCCAACAUAAAUGUUUUGACAACUCUACGUUUGGUCUUCCGGAUCUCUCAAGUCCAGGGGUAUACAGAGAGUUUUGUUCAAGACCUCCUCCGCACUGGACUGAAGGCCAUGUUGAACGGGAAACCCAUCGUUGUCCCAGAUUACGGAGAGAUCAGUAGCAUCAUCCUUCUUGGUAUGCCAGUUUCCUAA